UACGAAGGUGGCAAGCGUUGUCCGGAAUUAUUGGGCGUAAAGCGUGCGUAGGCGGUCUAUUAAGUCUGAUUUGAAAGCCCAUGGCUUAACCAUGGAGGGUGAUUGGAAACUGGUAGACUUGAGUACAGGAGAGGAAGGUGGAAUUCCACGUGUAGCGGUGAAAUGCGUAGAUAUGUGGAGGAACACCAGUGGCGAAGGCGGCCUUCUGGCCUGUGUCUGACGCUGAUGCACGAAAGCGUGGGUAGCAAACAGG
rnacentral:rRNA from 1 species